CCCACACAAGAGAGGUGUUCAGACAAGCGUGCUGAGUCCGCCGGCUCCGAGGCCAGGGCUGGGGAACGUGAGUCGCCGGCAGGGGGCGCGCGCGAGCCUCUGGGCGGCGCAGGCGGGGCGGUUACUAGGCCGGGAGGGGCGCUGGGGGUAAUUUUUGGUUGGUUGUCUCGGGGUGCCGACCGCCCAAGCCCCUUUUAAACUUCGUCUCUCCAGCGCCUUCACUUUUCCGACGCGGUGUGCGACUCGGCACAGUCCAGUUUCAGAUGCUGAUGAACUUCAGGUCUGGUGCUGGAAAGACAAUCGUGGUGUUUGAAAGAAGCUUUUCAAGUAGAUACAGUGUAUUUGAACAUAUGGUGAUUGAAUAGAGGCUUUUGCUCUCUUUGUCCCUUUCAUGGUAGUAGCAGCGGUGAAUUUUGAGAAGGUGCCAAAUAUCUGUAAGAACAUAUAUCUACCAGCACCACAGAGAAUUUUGUAGAAUUCUGUUCUAUUAUUUAGCCUUUCUGCCAACCAGCCCUAGCCUGAAGCUUGACAUAGUAACUAGACUAUUCUACAACUGUCUUAACAACACUGUCACUUGUGCCUUAAUUUGCAAAGAUUAUUUUUAAAUCCUAUUCCUUUGACUGCCCUAAAGAUACAUUUCAAAGCAUCCUUUUAAAAAUACAGUUUCAGGGGUGCCUAGGUGGCUCUCUCAGUUAAGCAUCCAACUUCAGCUCAGGUCAUGAUCUCAUAGUUCGUGGGUUCGAGCCCCACGUUGGGUUCUGUGCUGAC